rnacentral:lncRNA from 1 species
GGGUCGUUCUCCCUCCCAAAUCGCUCUCAGUCACCAUGGCUCUCACCCUUUCACCCUCAUCGAGCCUCUCGCCUCCAUCUCUCUCGUUUUCCCAUCAAAUCUUGACCCUUCUUCUUCCUCCCAGCUGCCGCGUCUUCAGCUUUGAGAUGCGCCACCGCUUCUCCGACCCAGUCAAGUAGUGGUCGGAGGCCGCCGGAAAGCUCUCUCCGGCCGGCGGCACCAACCUUCUCGAGAAGGGCAGCUUCGAGUACUACGCCGAACUCGCCUACUCGACCGCCUCCUCCGCGGCCGCAAGCUCGUCGAGUCCACCGACAGCCUCGCUUUCUCCGACGGC